UGGUGGUGAUUGUGGUGGUGGAGCUAAUGACAUGUGUGCAGAAACUCUUCUGAAUGGGACUUCCCUGAUCCUGUUUUUACCUGAUCUUCAUGCUCAAUAGAAAAAGCCUCAGCUUUGGAAUCAGCUUCCCAGUGAACACCGAGAGUUGAGUUUAGCAACUGUUUGGACUGGCCAUGUAACAGUUAUACAAUUUUCAAUUUGCAGGGCCGUCCAGGUAGCAUGGCAUGGUACUGGAACACUAUGUCUUCUCUCUGACCUCUCGGAAUAUCUCUGUGAUUCAAUGUGUUGGCCCAUUGGAGGCCCUGGACUGGUUAAAACCUGGAGGUUUGAGAAACCCCUGAUCUUCUCCAUACUCUUCACAAGGGCAAUGGCUGGCCAAGAUUACAAAUUAGUGACUGUUGAGGCUGGAAUCUGUACCGAGGUCAUGGGAACCCCCUGCACUGCCCCUUCUAAUCACCCUCCUGCUUGGACCCUGGGAGUAUGACAAAGAGUCAGAUAAGACAACUGAGGCUGAAGAUCACACAACCAGUAAAUGGAACAGCCAGAAAUCAAAUGUUAUAUAUUGGCCCUGAAGUGGGGAUAAAGCAGCUAAAAGAAAGUGUACUUUACAUUAAAUUUUAAGGUAUCCAAAAGCAAAUCAAUAAGCCAUACUCUAGUUACAUUAAGAUAUUUUCACAAGUGCUAGGUUAAGUAAUAUAAAAUUACCAUUUUUGUAGGUCAAAAGUAAUGGAAUAUCAUGCUUGUAUAUGGUUUGAUCUAAUAUAUAUCAUUAUCAGGUUCUACUAAUACAGAGUUUUCUGCCUUUACUUAACCAUCACAAUAAACUAAGGACUUCCAAGCUAGUAAGAAUAAUGACACAGAUAAUAAUUAGAAAAGUAUUCAUAACAUUAUCAACAAACACUUCUACCAUUUUUUGAACAACUACUUCUAUGUAUAUUUUCACUGUAGUAAAAAAUCCCUAACAAAAAA
ensembl:lncRNA novel transcript